rnacentral:misc_RNA from 1 species
UCAACCCUCAAGCCCGGCUUGCCGUUGGGUCCCGUAGGGUGCGAACCUCCACGGACCUCAAAGAUAAUGGCAGAGCCCGUGUGGACCCUGGAUGCAGCGAGCUUUCUGGCACGCAUCACGGCGGUCCUCCGGCUCGGUCUCAACCGUCAUUUUUCACU